AAGUCGUAACAAGGUUUCCGUAGGUUGAAUCCUUGCGGAAGGAUCAUUACCUAGAGUUGUAGGCUUUGCCUGCAUAUCUCUUACCCAUGUCUUUUGAGUACCUUGCGUUUCCUCGGCGGGUUCGCCCGCCGAUUGGACGAUUUAAACCAUUUGCAGUUGCCAAUCAUGCGUCUGAAAAAACAUAAUAGUUACAA
rnacentral:misc_RNA from 1 species